rnacentral:rRNA from 1 species
AGUGAACGCUGGUGGUAGGCCUAACACAUGCAAGUCGAACGGCAGCACAGUAAGAGCUUGCUCUUACGGGUGGCGAGUGGCGGACGGGUGAGGAAUACAUCGGAAUCUACUUUUUCGUGGGGGAUAAAGUAGGGAAACUUACGCCAAUACCGCAUACGACCUACGGGUGGAAGCAGGGGAUCUUCGGACCUUGCGCGAUUGAAUGAGCCGAUGUCGGAUUAGCUAGUUGGCGGGGUAAAGGCCCACCAAGGCGACGAUCCGUAGCUGGUCUGAGAGGAUGAUCAGCCACACUGGAACUGAGACACGGUCCAGACUCCUACGGGAGGCAGCAGUGGGGAAUAUUGGACAAUGGGCGCAAGCCUGAUCCAGCCAUACCGCGUGGGUGAAGAAGGCCUUCGGGUUGUAAAGCCCUUUUGUUGGGAAAGAAAAGCAGCAGGUUAAUACCCCGCUGUUCUGACGGUACCCAAAGAAUAAGCACCGGCUAACUUCGUG